AGGUGAAUCUGGCUCAGAAUGAACGCUGGCGGCGUGCUUACACAUGCAGUCGAACGAGUAUGACGCUGACGAGUAAAGUACUGCUACGAGCAAAUCUGUCGAUACUUAAUGGCGGACGGGUGAGUUACCCGUGGGUAACCGCCAUGUUCAGGGGAAUAACCUUAAAAAAUAGGGUCUAAUCCCGAUUAACCCUCAGGAUCCCUUGUCCCCUUAAAAAAACCCCCCGGGGACUUUAUGGACCCCCCUCGAAUAACCAUUUGGGGAAGGGGGGGGGCCCCCAGGGGAAAAAAAUUACCCCGCCCUAAAGGGGAAAAGCCCCUUUGGGGGUUGAAAAAACCCCCCACCCUCUCUCGGGGGGGGACGGGGGGGAAAUUUUUCCACGGGGGGGGAAACCCUUUUUUUUUACACCCCCCGGGGGAAAAAAAAAAUUUUGCGGGUGUUACCCCCCCCCCCCCCGGGAAAAAAAAAAAAGGGGCCGUCCAAAAAAAAAACCCCCGCCCUUU
rnacentral:rRNA from 1 species